UUUAGCGCCCAUGGUGUUGCUUUGAUCCUGUGAAGUUUUAAGUGCUGAUGCUUUUUAACUUCAUGAUGCCGACGGCAUUAAGACAAAGUGAAAAGCACAAUAUUGAUAACAAAACGUGAACAAGAAAGCUAAACAAUUAUCUGACACAUUUUAUGUCCCUGUAUUUGCUUCAAAUAUAUAUUAAGAAGAGAGUUUCUGCUAAACUUGGAAAAAAAAACACAAAAAAUCUUCAACAUUGAAAUUAUUCAGGCAUAAUCCCUUUAAACAUUAGUCCAUGUUAAAAAGUAGAUCAAAUCCACAUCAGUUAAGUCAAGUAAAACAUUCUGUAAUCAAAUCCUUUCUCCAUAAAUUCUUCAUAAAAGAGGGGUUUAUUGGAGUGAAUUAAUUUACAACUAAUACAAUCCAACUAUGAGUACAGGAUCUUCUAAUUGCACUUCGGUUCUUUUUUGCAACACAUUAAAAGGACUUAACAUUCAUACAGCCUCUGGAAAUGUGAAUCUUUUGGUGCCCUGAGGUUAACUUGACCUUUUACAACUCGACCUGGCAGGCCGUGUUAUUAGUUCAAGUUCUUCCAUUUUGAUUUAGUUCAAGAUUGUUUUACAGGUGCCGAGACUUUGAGGAGUAAAAUAAACCAACAGACAAGAGUUAUGUGCAAGUCUGACAUCUCUUUGCAUGAGAAUAAGGCUGGCAAUGGCAUAUUUAUUACAUGUUUUUUUGUUGUUGUUAAAAGAGCUCCACAAAAAAACUCAGAUAUAGAGCACUUGCUCUAAACUGAUAUUUUGGGGCUUAACUGCAAAAACACCACAGGGAAAUAUAAUAUAUUUUCCGAUAAAAAUGGGAAAAUUAAUAGGAUCCCAUACAAGUAUCCAUAGUACAAGUUUUGUGUGACAGAAUUUUUCAACUGCCAUCCUUCCACAGAUUUUGUUUAUAGACUUGUUGGGUCAUUUCUGAUAAGAAAGUAAUUCUAGCAACUUUAACAAGUUUUAUUAAACUCUGUAAAUGUGCACACUACUCAGUUGCGUAUUCUUUGACAUCAACAAGGUCAGGCCCAGCUCAAGGCAUAAGCAAACUAUGCAGCUGUCUACAGCUCCACACCAACAGGGGGGCCCCCAGAGUAGUUAUAUUGCAAAGAUUCCUUAUUAAUUGUUUUCCAUCAAUAUGACUAUUUGAAUAGAAUGAUCUUUUCUAAAAUAGACAGUAAAACUCAGCUGGAAACGAAAAAAUGUUUUAAUUAGGCAUGGGCUAGUAUAAGAUUCUGACAUUAUGAUAACCUUUUACCACUUUUCCAUUUUAAUAAAAACAAAUUAAAAAUAAAUGUAAUGUAUUACAUAGCAUAAAUAAUAAAUACUUUACUUGUUUUACUUUAUUACAAAUCUUACUACUACUGCUAAAAUUACUUUGAAUAUUGUUAUAGCACUGAUUUAGUUAGUUUGAGUUUAUUCCAUAACAAAACAUAGGGAAGUGUAGUGACAGUGUUUUUAAAGGACACUAUGAUUUUCAACAUAGUAACAAAAUAUUUUAAAGAGUUUAGCAAAAUAUUAUAACAGCAAAAUGUACUCGUACUCGUCGUCGUCUUCCGCUUUAUCAGGGACCGGGUUGCGGGGGCAGCAGACUCAGCAGAGACGCUCAGAUGUCCCUCUGUAAGUCUGUUGUACAAUUAAUUUAUAGGAUUUAUUUUCUGCUUUAAAAAUAAAUAAUAUCUACCUCAUUGGAAACUAUCACAGUUUUCUAGAUGAAAAAUAGACAGCAGUUUUAGGUGAGAGUGGUGGCUAACUACUAAAAACAGUUUGUUCAAAUAAAACAGUUAGCUAGCUCUGUAAUUAAGUGACUUUUUAUUUUAAAUUUUAUUAUGCUUCAUACAAGUAAGUGCAGCCGAAACAUACCAAAAUAAUCUGCUUUUAUUAAAAAGAUUUUCAUGUUUUCUAUCGAAUUUUCUCCUUUUUUAGUUGACAGACUUCAGCGUUCCCCUAACCUCGCUUCCAUUAAUGUAAUUAUUGAUAAGAGGGCUUUAAAGAAGAUCACCAACAAGCUCACUAAUCUUAAAUAAUCCUUCAUGCUUGCUGUGGGAGCGUAGAAAGGGGAAGCCCACGUCUAUUGAAACAGUUUCCUGUUUUCUGUGCUGCUCCAGUCGGUGCUGUUUUCCUCUCUGGCGUGCACCAUGAUGAAUACGAACGUUGCCUAAAAAACAUGCAUUACAGUGAAAACCUGUGUUUCCUCUUUGAUAAAGUCUGUGGAAAACACCUGAUGACUUUGCCAGGACAGCUCAUGCCAAUGCAUAUCUUGGCGUGGCGGCUCCCCCUUGUGGUAGCCGAAGGCCCUACACUUCCGAAGCUACACCUGGCCUGACUCUGUGUCUACCUGUGACACCUUUCUGGAGAGGGGAAUCG